rnacentral:rRNA from 1 species
GAUUUCUGGUACGGCGCAUUUGGCCCGCUUCGGUUACGGAGUUGAGUGCCGUUUUGCGCCUGCCAUCCUUCUAGAGUACGACUCUCCCUUCACUGGGUUGGGCCGGAAUCUAGAUCAUUUACUUUGAAAAAAUUAGAGUGUUUAAAGCAGGCUUACGCUAUGAAUACAUUAGCAUGGAAUAAUAAUUUAGGACUUUGGUCUUAUUUUGUUGGUUUCUAGGACUAAAGUAAUGAUUGAUAGGGAUAGUUGGGGGUGCUAGUAUUGGCCGGUCAGAGGUGAAAUUCUUGGAUUCGGUCAAGACUAACUUAUGCGAAAGCAUU